UGCACUGAGCCUUCUGUGAAUUUUAAAACAUAUAACUCAGCUCUCAAGCAUUUCUUUUGUAAAUAUUGAUAAUGGUUUCAAGUUCUUUAUUAAAUAACUUUUUAAUGAGGUUGAGGACAAAGAACUAUUUUUUCACAGUCUCAUGAAGAUAAGAAUCAUAACAUAUCCUUCUGUACCAUGGAACACAUGCUUCUCAAUACCUCAUUGUGCAGUGGAGGUUUUCCCACUUUUUAAAAGUUUACUUUGACGAAAAAUGCAAUUAGAAGUAGUAAAAUUUAAAGUAGGUUCCAGUGAAAUUUCUGAAAUUGCUUGCAACUCUGACAGCCAUGCACACUGGUGUAUUAGGAUAGAAGUAUCAGAAAGCUCCCUUACAUGUUUGAUCAGAAAAGAGCCCUACAACUACCUUUUAAUAAUACACAGGCUAUGUUAUCUAAGCAAUAUUUAUUAUCUAUAUCUUCAGCAGAAUGCAUAUCUAUACACUAAGAACCAUAGACAAUAAAAUAUUAUGGAGGAGUUCACUAGGGGAUGUUUCUUGGGAGAGGUUUUUAAUCAGUUUACAGGAAUGGUCAAAGGACUGAACAGGAGUUUCCUUUUCUGUGCAGGCUGUAAACAGCUUAUGAUAGGUAGCCAAUGGGAAGUUUUUAGUGUGGCUUAGAAAAUAUUAACUUGUAGGAGUUCUGACCUCUGUCUCCAAGAUGGGGCUCAGAGGGCUAAUGUUUACUAGGAGGUAUCUGGCUCUCUAGGAAACUGCAAAAUUUCAAUGGAAGUUAUUUCCCUUUUACAGAUUUCAAUAAUGAGUCUGAAUAUGUAGCCAUACAUUAAAACAAAUAUUCUAUACAACUCAUUUUCUCUAUUAUACAUAAGUGUUUAUCUUUUGAACUGGAAAAUGUUGCCUCAGGCAUGAAAUAUUCCAGCCAGCUGCACUUUGCUGAAAUACGCUGUAGAUUCUGUAGCUUGCUUUUCCAUUCAACACUUAAAAGCAUUUGAAUAUGCUAAGCUGAAUUAAAAGCCAACUAGGAGCAUAUUAUUAGUCCCCUGGUAUCAACCAUUUUUCUCACAUAUUCCAUAGAAGCCUUUCAGUGCUAAUAAUAAUAUUUCCCUAUACUAGUUUUAUUGACAGCUUGAAACAUUAAUGAAGAUCCAUUUGAAACGUAAAUGGUCAGUCUUCCGUGCACAUUUAUUUAUAGGAUCCAUGCACUGAGUCUUUAAGCUGUGAUGGUAAAUGGAAGCCUAGAUACAUACAAGAAGCUUGAAUUUAUGUAUUCUUUAAGGGCAAGAGUGUGACUUUCUCACUGCCCUGAGCUGCGCUGCCACAGGAAGAGCCCCAGAGGCAUCCUGACAGAGACACUCUGACCUGUAGCUCCUUCAUUGCUUCUUCCCUGCUUCUAGCCAAGGACAGCACUCUGCUAGUGGCAGCAAUAUGAGGAGCCUGUCUGUAAACCAUUUAACUGCUCACAGCUGGUGGCCAUAUUGUACUCCUACUAUGAGUGAAGUUUGUGGGUGUAGCAUCCAGGAUACCUCAGUGCCCUGGACCAAAAGAUCUUCCCUACCACAUAUUCCUCGUGGAUGUUUAGCUGCCACUGGCAAAAAGCCAAAUAGAGACAAAAAGAGCCAAAUAAGCAGACAAAACUAUAAUAUUGAUAUUAGGCCAGCAUUAAGUAAGCUAGGAACUGUAAAAAACCUUAUAUUGUUAUUGCAAAAAUAAAUAA